rnacentral:lncRNA from 1 species
GUCAACAGCCACUUCCUCCCUGGGGCUUAACAGGCAUUCCUUGAAGCCUGCCCCGGGCAGUUAGUCCUUCCCUUUUGUGUGAACUCACGGCUGUUUUCGUUGUCUGCACACAGAGCAGUGGUCUAGGGAGCGAAGGGUUUGGGAAUGGACCUUUUCCUUUCUUAGCUUGCUGUAGGGAAUGUGCUUCAGCUAAGUAAAGUGGAAAAACAGAAAUACAAAAGCAAGAGCCCCAGAUCUAAGGGCACCGUAGCUCUGGAAUCUGGAUUUUAUUCCAGAUUCAACCCUCAGCAGGGAGUUGAAGUGGUCAGCCCUGUGCUUUACAAGGCUGAUUGGGCAGCACCUAUAGUAGAAUUGUCAACAUAAAGUAAUUGAAAGGAUCAGAAUCCAGGGUUUUUGUUGUUUUUAAGUUUUUAAGUUUUAAAAACGAAGCUGUUUUUGUUCGUUUUUAAGUUUACUUCUCUUUAAUCGGUCUCACUUUAUUGACCAGGCUGGUUUUGAACUCCUGGGCUCAAGUGAUUUCUCCGGUCUCAGCUUCUCAAAGUGCUGGGAUUACAGGCGUGAGCCGCUGCACCCAGCCCAGAAUCCAGUUUUAAAGAGUUUAUUGAAGCCAAAAGCUGGGAAUGGCCAUCUGAGAAACACAGACUCUAGGAAAAUGGGGCCAAGGCCCUGAAGUUAAAAGUUAAAGUCUUGCUUACAUAGGCAGAAAGUAAAGACAUUUAGUAACCUUGUAGAACAUUUUCUUGUAUAACUUUUCUUGUUUUAACUUUCUUGUUUAACAUUUUCUAUGCAAGGCUGGUUUAUGAGUUACAACCGAUAAUUAAUUAUAGGUUGUUCCCCUGCCUCCACCUUGUUUUCUUUUCUCUACAGCUUGUUUUCAUUUCCUUUCCAAUUUAAGAAUGUGUUUAACAUUUUAUCCCAGACAAUGUGAUGGUCAUGAAGUCUCCGUCAGAGAGGAAAGAGGGAGUUAAUCUAUAAUGAAGAUCAACAGUGAAGAGGAAAGGGGUCUUCCCUGACCCUUCAGUCAUAUACGACAUUUUACACAACAAUAAUGGACCUGUGUAAGGAGGUAUGUGUGGGAGAAGAUUCCAGAAGGUCUUGAGACACUCCAGAUGAAGGUUGGUAUGGGGCUGUGCUGCUGGAGCACCAGAGAGUGAAGAGGUUAUCUCCCUCUGUGCCAGGCCAGAGUGCAGUGGUGCAAUCACGGCUCACUAUAGUCUCAACCUCCUGGGCUCAAGAGAUCCUCCCACUUCAGCCUCCCAAGCAGCUAGGACUACAGACAUGUCCUUAACCUUGGCACAACAAAUCUCUAAAUCGAUUGAGACCUGUCUCAGAUACUUCUUGGUUUACAAGAUGGAGGCUGAAAUUAAAGAGAAAGAUCCUCACUCAACUCACAGAGGAGCAGAAUGGGAAGAGGACUUAGUGAGAAUUCCCUGAACACAGGAGAAAACCGAAGCCCAGAGAGUGGAUGGCCAAGUCCAAGGUCACACAGCCAAGUGCAUCCGAGCAGCGCAGGAUCCAGGUUUCCUGCCCCAGUGCUCUUUCUGCAGCCCAUGCCACCUGUUUUCAUGCUAUCUCAGUUCACCUUCCAGCUACACACCUGCAAUCAGAAACAGAAAGUCUGAGAGAGUGUGUGGAGCCAAAGAGGGGACAGCAGUGGUUAGAAGCAAGGCACAAGUCAUACCUACAUUCAAGGAGAGGGGACCAUGCAAAGGAUAAACUGCAGAGAGACAACAGAUUUACAUCCCAGACACACUGGGCCAAGAGCAGCUGCCAUUGCAGAUUCGAGUCACGUCCUUUUUUCCCUCCUUCUCCUUCUUGGAGUUACAACAGAAGCUGGGGAGGUGAGAGUGCAGAAAGGACGUGGAUGAAGCAGAGAGGCACGUGCCUGUCUCAUUCGCCUCUGGAUCUGCUGCACCCAGGACCGUGCCAGCACAAAGUGGGAGCCCGAUAAAUAUUUAUUGAAGAAAUGAAAGGUGACAAAAGGCAGGAGGGAGACCCCCAAAAGAGCAGCACAGGAAGCUGCCCCCUCAAACACUAAAGGCUCCUGGAGCUAUUCACAGUGCUGGGGAACAACCAGAGGAGGAGGACAGAGGGAGAGAACACUUUUUUAAAAAUCCCAAACAAAACCAAAUUCUCUACAUGUGUAUCUCGAGUGAGUAAAUGUGUAACACUCAGCA